UACGUAGGGGGCAAGCGUUGUCCGGAAUCAUUGGGCGUAAAGAGCUCGUAGGCGGUUCGUCACGUCGGCUGUGAAAUCCCGAGGCUCAACCUCGGGUCUGCAGUCGAUACGGGCGGACUGGAGUACUGCAGGGGAGACUGGAAUUCCUGGUGUAGCGGUGAAAUGCGCAGAUAUCAGGAGGAACACCGGUGGCGAAGGCGGGUCUCUGGGCAGUAACUGACGCUGAGGAGCGAAAGCGUGGGGAGCGAACAGG
rnacentral:rRNA from 1 species